rnacentral:rRNA from 1 species
GAUUAACGCUAGCGGCAGGCCUAAUACAUGCAAGUCGAGGGGUAACAGGGUAGCAAUACCGCUGACGACCGGCGCACGGGUGAGUAACACGUAUGCAACCUACCUAUAACUGGGGAAUAGCCUUCCGAAAGGAAGAUUAACACCGCAUAAUAUCACGAGACGGCAUCGUUUUGUGAUCAAACCUCCGGGGGUUAUAGAUGGGCAUGCGUAACAUUAGCUAGUUGGUGAGGUAACGGCUCACCAAGGCGACGAUGUUUA